rnacentral:rRNA from 1 species
UACGGAGGGUGCAAGCGUUAUCCGGAUUCACUGGGUUUAAAGGGUGCGUAGGAGGGCGGAUAAGUCAGUGGUGAAAUCUUCGAGCUUAACUCGGAAACUGCCGUUGAUACUAUUUGUCUUGAAUAUCGUGGAGGUGAGCGGAAUAUGUAAUGUAGCGGUGAAAUGCUUAGAUAUGACAUAGAACACCAAUUGCGAAGGCAGCUCGCUACACGAAUAUUGACUCUGAGGCACGAAAGCGUGGGGAUCAAACAGG